rnacentral:rRNA from 1 species
CGAACUAGUUUGAGCUAAAUAGCCGAGGUUAUUAGGCUAAUGAUGUGCGUUGUAUAGCACAAUUUAAAGGGUUAUUUAGGGGUGAAAGGCCUCCCAAAAACUAAGAUAUCUUGAUACCAUAAAAAUGUAUUUAGUACUCUUUAGGCAAAUAUAAAAUGGUUAGGUUUUAUAUAUUUAUAAUAUUUAUUUUAUAGCAAUAAUGAUAUAAUCAUCUAUUACCUUAUAAGACUAUUAUUUUAAUUUAAGUUAUGUAUAUUAUACGUGGUACUGCCUAAAUUUAAAUCGCCAUUGAUAAUGUUUUCAUAAGUACUGUUGUUAGACCUAGAUAAUGAACUCGGCAAGAUUUUCUUCAACUGUUUAUCAAAAACAUAACUAUAUGAAUGUUUAUAUAGCUACGUCUGCUCAAUGUUCCCAUAAAUAGCCGCAGUACUUUGACUGUGCAAAGGUAGCAUAAUCAAUUGACUUAUAAUUGAAGUCUGGAAUGAAAGAAUCUAUGGGGAAAUACUGUUUCAUUUUGGUAUGUGGAAAUUAUUUAUUAGGUGAAAAAACCUAUAAAUAAAUAAUAGACGAGAAGACCCUUGAAAUUUUAAUUAAACAGGUAAAGAUAUCUUUUUGUUGGGGCGACAAAGUAGCAAUAGAGAAACCUACUUUAAAGAAUAUGUAUUAUUUUAAAAGAUUAAAUAAAUUACUCUAGGGAUAACAGCAUAAUAUUUAAAAGUUUGUGACCUCGAUGUUGGACUAGGAAACUAUAGUUUAGAAGACUAUUAUAAAGGCUCUGUU